AGCGAACGCUGGCGGCGUGCUUAACACAUGCAAGUCGAGGGAGAACGGAGGGCUUCGGCCUCCCUAGUAAACCGGCGCACGGGUGAGUAACACGUAGGUAACCUACCUCCGAGACCGGGAUAACCUGUCGAAAGAUAGGCUAAUACCGGAUAAGACCACGAUGGUUUCGGCCACUGCGGUCAAAGAUGGCCUCUGCUUGCAAGCUAUCACUUGGAGAUGGGCCUGCGCGCCAUAGCUAGUUGGUGGGGUAACGGCUCACCAAGGCUACGAUGGCUAGUUGGUCUGAGAGGAUGACCAGCCACACUGGGACUGAGACACGGCCCAGACUCCUACGGGAGGCAGCAGUGGGGAAUAUUGCGCAAUGGGGAAAACCCUGACGCAGCGACGCCGCGUGGGGGAUG
rnacentral:rRNA from 1 species